AUUGAACGCUGGCGGCAGGCCUAACACAUGCAAGUCGAGCGGAGCGGCGGACGGGUGAGUAAUGCUUAGGAAUCUGCCUGGUAGUGGUGGAUGACGUCCGGAAACGGGCGCUAAUACCGAAUACUCUCACAUUAGCCUAGGUCGGAUUAGCAAGGUGGUGGGGUAAAGGCCUACAAAGGCGACGAUCCGUAGCUGGUCUGAGAGGAUGAUCAGUCACACUGGAACUGAGACACGGUCCAGACUCCUACGGGAGGCAGCAGUGGGGAAUAUUGGACAAUGGGCGAAAGCCUGAUGCAGCCAUGCCGCGUGUGUGAAGAAGGUCUUCGGGUUGUAAAGCACUUUAAGUUGGGAGGCGUUACCAACAGAAGAAGCACCGGCUAACUUCGUGCCAGCAGCCGCGGUAAUAC
rnacentral:rRNA from 1 species